AUGGAGGACCCCUGCCUUGGCACCUUCUCCCCAAGGUGCUCUGCACACUUUAAUUCUCUUGCUCUCUCAUCACCCCCUAUGCCCGUCAUCCCUCUAUCCCUCUCACCCCCUAUGCCUGUCAUCCCUCUAUCCCUCUCACUCCCUAUGCCCGUCAUCCCUCUAUCCCUCUCACUCCCUAUGCCCGUCAUCCCUCUAUCCCUCUCACUCCCUAUGCCCAUCAUUCCUCUAUCCCUCACUCCCUAUGCCCGUCAUCACUCUCUCUCAUCACUCCCUAUGCCCGUCAUCACUCUCUCUCAUCACUCCCUAUGCCCGUCAUCACUCUCUCUCAUCACUCCCUAUGCCCGUCAUCACUCUCUCUCAUCACUCCCUAUGCCCGUCAUCCCUCUCACUCCCAAUGCCCGUCAUCCCUCUCUCUCAUCACUCCCUAUGCCCGUCAUCACUCUCUCUCAUCACUCCCUAUGCCCGUCAUCACUCUAUCCCUCUCAUUCCCUAUGCCCGUCAUCCCUCUAUCCCUCUCACUCCCUAUGCCCGUCAUCACUCUCAUCACCCCCUAUGCCCGUCAUCCCUCUCACUCCCUAUGCCUGUCAUCCCUCUAUCCCUCUCACUCCCUAUGCCCGUCAUCCCUCUAUCCCUCUCACUCCCUAUGCCCGUCAUCCCUCUAUCCCUCUCACUCCCUAUGCCCGUCAUCCCUCUAUCCCUCUCACUCCCUAUGCCCGUCAUCCCUCUAUCCCUCACUCCCUAUGCCCAUCAUCCCUCUAUCCCUCACUCCCUAUGCCCGUCACUCUAUCCCUCUCACUCCCUAUGCCCAUCAUCCCUCUCACUCCCUAUUCCCAUCAUCCCUCUCACUCCCUAUUCCCGUCAUCACUCUCUCUCAUCACUCCCUAUGCCCGUCAUCACUCUCUCUCAUCACUCCCUAUGCCCGUCAUCCCUCUCACUCCCUAUGCCCGUCAUCCCUCUAUCCCUCUCACUCCCUAUGCCCGUCAUUCCUCUAUCCCUCUCACUCCCUAUGCCCGUCAUCACUCUCUCUCAUCACUCCCUAUGCCCGUCAUCACUCUCUCUCAUCACUCCCUAAGCCCGUCAUCACUCUAUCCCUCUCACUCCCUAUGCCCGUCAUCCCUCUAUCCCUCUCACUCCCUAUGCCCGUCAUCCCUCUAUCCCUCUCACUCCCUAUGCCCGUCAUCUCUCUCUCAUCACUCCCUAUGUCCGUCAUCACUCUCUCUCAUCACUCCCUAUGCCCGUCAUCCCUCUAUCCCUCUCACUCCCUAUGCCCGUCAUUCCUCUCACUCCCUAUGCCCGUCAUCACUCUCUCUCAUCACUCCCUAUGCCCGUCAUCACUCUAUCCCUCUCACUCCCUAUGCCCGUCAUCCCUCUAUCCCUCUCACUCCCUAUGCCCGUCAUUCCUCUCACUCCCUAUGCCCGUCAUCCCUCUAUCCCUCUCACUCCCUAUGCCCGUCAUCCCUCUAUCCCUCUCACUCCCUAUGCCCGUCAUCCCUCUCACUCCCUAUGCCCGUCAUCACUCUCUCUCAUCACCCCCUAUGCCCGUCAUCCCUCUAUCCCUCUCACCCCCUAUGCCCGUCAUCCCUCUAUCCCUCUCACUCCCUAUGCCCGUCAUCCCUCUCACUCCCUAUGCCCGUCAUUCCUCUAUCCCUCUCACUCCCUAUGCCCGUCAUCCCUCUAUCCCUCUCACUCCCUAUGCCCGUCAUCCCUCUGUCCCUCACUCCCUAUGCCCGUCAUCCCUCUAUCCCUCACUCCCUAUGCCAAUCAUCCCUCUAUCCCUCUCACUCCCUAUGCCCGUCAUCCCUCUAUCCCUCUCACUCCCUAUGCCUGUCAUCCCUCUCACUCCCUAUGCCUGUCAUCCCUGUAUCCCUCUCACUCCCUAUGCCCGUCAUCCCUCUCACUCCCUAUGCCCGUCAUCCCUCUAUCCCUCUCACCCCCUAUGCCUGUCAUCCCUCUAUCCCUCUCACUCCCUAUGCCCGUCAUCCCUCUAUCCCUCUCACUCCCUAUGCCCGUCAUCCCUCUAUCCCUCACUCCCUAUGCCCGCCAUCCCUCUAUCCCUCUCACUCCCUAUGCCCAUCAUCCCUCUAUCCCUCACUCCCUAUGCCCGUCAUCACUCUUUCCCUCUCACUCCCUAUGCCCAUCAUCCCUCUCACUCCCUAUGCCCGUCAUCCCUCUCACUCCCUAUGCCCGUCAUCCCUCUAUCCCUCUCACUCCCUAUGCCCGUCAUCCCUCUAUCCCUCUCACUCCCUAUGCCCGUCAUCCCUCUAUCCCUCUCACUCCCUAUGCCUGUCAUCCCUCUAUCCCUCUCACUCCCUAUGCCCGUCAUCCCUCUAUCCCUCUCACUCCCUAUGCCCGUCAUUCCUCUCACUCCCUAUGCCCGUCAUCCCUCUAUCCCUCUCACUCCCUAUGCCCGUCAUCCCUCUAUCCCUCUCACUCCCUAUGCCUGUCAUCCCUCUAUCCCUCUCACUCCCUAUGCCCGUCAUCCCUCUCACUCCCUAUGCCCGUCAUCACUCUCUCUCAUCACCCCCUAUGCCCGUCAUCCCUCUAUCCCUCUCACCCCCUAUGCCCGUCAUCCCUCUAUCCCUCUCACUCCCUAUGCCCGUCAUCCCUCUCACUCCCUAUGCCCGUCAUCCCUCUAGCCCUCUCACUCCCUAUCCCUGUCAUCCCUCUAUCCCUCUCACUCCCUAUGCCCGUCAUCCCUCUGUCCCUCACUCCCUAUGCCCGUCAUCCCUCUAUCCCUCACUCCCUAUGCCCAUCAUCCCUCUAUCCCUCUCACUCCCUAUGCCCGUCAUCCCUCUAUCCCUCUCACUCCCUAUGCCCGUCAUCCCUCUAUCCCUCUCACUCCCUAUGCCUGUCAUCCCUGUAUCCCUCUCACUCCCUAUGCCCGUCAUCCCUCUCACUCCCUAUGCCCGUCAUCCCUCUAUCCCUCUCACCCCCUAUGCCUGUCAUCCCUCUAUCCCUCUCACUCCCUAUGCCCGUCAUCCCUCUAUCCCUCUCACUCCCUAUGCCCGUCAUCCCUCACUCCCUAUGCCCGCCAUCCCUCUAUCCCUCUCACUCCCUAUGCCCAUCAUCCCUCUAUCCCUCACUCCCUAUGCCCGUCAUCACUCUAUCCCUCACUCCCUAUGCCCAUCAUCCCUCUCACUCCCUAUGCCCGUCAUCCCUCUCACUCCCUAUGCCCGUCAUCCCUCUAUCCCUCUCACUCCCUAUGCCCGUCAUCCCUUUACCCCUCUCACUCCCUAUGCCUGUCAUCCCUCUAUCCCUCUCACUCCCUAUGCCCGUCAUCCCUCUAUCCCUCUCACUCCCUAUGCCUGUCAUCCCUGUAUCCCUCUCACUCCCUAUGCCCUUCAUCCCUCUAUCCCUCUCACUCCCUAUGCCCGUCAUCCCUCUAUCCCUCUCACUCCCUAUGCCCGUCAUCCCUCUAUCCCUCUCACUCCCUAUGCCCGUAAUCACUCUCUCUCAUCACUCCCUAUGCCCGUCAUCCCUCUAUCCCUUUCACUCCCUAUGCCCUUCAUCCCUCUAUCCCUCUCACUCCCUAUGCCCGUCAUCCCUCUAUCCCUCUCACUCCCUAUGCCCGUCAUCCCUCUAUCCCUCUCACUCCUUAUGCCCGUCAUCCCUCUCACUCCCUUUGCCCAUCAUCCCUCUAUCCCUCUCACCCCCUAUGCCCGUCAUCCCUCUAUCCCUCUCACUCCCUAUGCCCGUCAUCCCUCUAUCCCUCUCACUCCCUAUGCCCGUCAUCCCUCUCACUCCCUAUGCCCGUCAUCCCUCUCACUCCCUAUGCCCGUCAUCCCUCUCACUCCCUAUGCCCGUCAUCACUCUCUCUCAUCACUCCCUAUGCCCGUCAUCCCUCUAUCCCUCUCACUCCCUAUGCCCUCUAUCCCUCUCGCUCCCUAUGCCCGUCAUCCCUCUAUCCCUCUCGCUCCCUAUGCCCGUCAUCCCUCUAUCCCUCUCACUCCCUAUGCCCGUCAUCCCUCUAUCCCUCUCACUCCCUAUGCCCGUCAUCCCUCUAUCCCUCUCACUCCCUAUGCCCGUCAUCCCUCUAUCCCUCUCACUCCCUAUGCCCGUCAUCCCUCUCACUCCAUAUGCCCGUCAUCCCUCUAUCCCUCUCACUCCCUAUGCCCGUCAUCCCUCUAUCCCUCUCACUCCCUAUGCCCGUCAUCCCUCUCACUCCCUAUGCCCGUCAUCCCUCUCACUCCCUAUGCCCGUCAUCCCUCUAUCCCUCUCGCUCCCUAUGCCCGUCAUCCCUCUAUCCCUCUCACUCCCUAUGCCCGUCAUCUCUCUCACUCCCUAUGCCUGUCAUCCCUCUAUCCCUCUCACUCCCUAUGCCCGUCAUCACUCUAUCCCUCUGUUUUUGUCUCCCACCUCCAACUUCGCAGUAUAAGGGAGACGGGAAGUGGUGAGGGUUUAACAAGCCUCUGGAGACAGGAAGUGGUGAGGGUUUAA
rnacentral:lncRNA from 1 species